UACAGGGGGUGCAAACGUUGCUCGGAAUUAUUGGGCGUAAAGGGUGCGUAGGCGGCGGAGUAAGUUGGGUGUGAAAUCCCGGGGCUCAACCUCGGAAUGGCAUUCAAUACUGCUUCGCUAGAGUACUGGAGAGGAGGCUGGAAUUUACGGUGUAGCAGUGAAAUGCGUAGAUAUCGUAAGGAAGGCCGGUGGCGAAAGCGAGCCUCUGGACAGUUACUGACGCUGAUGCACGAAGGCCAGGGGAGCAAACGGG
rnacentral:rRNA from 1 species